rnacentral:tRNA from 1 species
GGUAUAGCUUAAGUGGUAGAGUGUGUGCUUAGCAUGCACGAGGUCCUGGGUUCAAUUCCCAGUACC